rnacentral:lncRNA from 10 species
UACACCCUCUCCAGACCCAGCAUCUCCGAUGGAUGAGCACAUCAGCACCCUCCUUCACAGAGCCUGCUUCUGUAUUAGUCAGGACAGGCCAGGCUGUAUUGUGGUAGCAGUCGGAACCCCCAAACCCAGCUGCUGCCAAGAGAGCAGGCACCGGGGGCCCGAGUGAUGGGGACUUGGUGGAGCUGGAGCAGCAAACUUGCUAAAAUCACUCCUGGUGACCUGGCAGGCUGAAUACAAGAAGGCUCAGCCAGGAGCAUAAGGGGCGAAGUGGGAAAACACCACAUUGCGAGUUUUGUGUUAGGUCCCGCAACACGAGACGGAGACCAGCUUGAGAAAGAAGGCCCAGCUUACAAGCAGAGAUGAAAGUGAACAGAGAGAUGGAUCCAGAAAUUCAGAGCACCGCAAGGGCAGAAAAAC